rnacentral:lncRNA from 1 species
UUGAUUCUAAGUAUAUGUGAUGUAAAGAACAAUCCUUAAAAGACAUUCAAGUUAUUCCUAGCAUAUUUCUAAUAGUUAAAACGACAAGUAAAACACAAAAGAAAAAUCAGAAAUGGGUAGAAAUAUAAUGAUGUGAGUGCUUUGGAACCUCAGGUUGUUACUGUAUUAUGCAAAUGCUCGAGCCUCAAGUGAGGAGGAGGAGGUUGAAUGAAAUAUAGGGUAGGAAUCUAUAAUGUUUUAGGAUCUCUUUGAGGUUUAUUUUUGAGAGUGCAUGUACUGCCUCUAAUACUUACUGUCAUUCUACUAUGAGUUGUUAAAAAUUUAUGAGAAUUCCUCUCCUAAGCUUAAAGUUUCUUAAUUCUAUUUAUAGGAAAAAAAUUUAAAAA